rnacentral:rRNA from 1 species
AGAGUUUGAUCAUGGCUCAGGACGAACGCUGGCGGCGUGCUUAACAUAUGCAAGUGGAGCGACGAACCAGGGCUUGCCCUGGGGCAGAGCCGCGAACGGGUGAGUAACACGUGGGCUACCUACCCCGAUGACCGGGACAACCCGAGGAAACUCGGGCUAAUACCGGAUGUGGUCCUCGGACCAAAGGAAGCUUCGGCCUCCGCAUCGGGAUGGGCCCGCGGCGCGUUAGCUUGUUGGUGGGGUAACGGCCUACCAAGGCAAAGAUGGUUAGCUGGUCUGAGAGGAUGAUCAGCCACACUGGAACUGAGACACGGUCCAGACUCCUACGGGAGGCAGCAGUGGGGAAUAUUGGACAAUGGGGGCAACCCUGAUCCAGCAAUGCCGCGUGAGUGAUGAAGGCCUUCGGGUUGUAAAGCUCUUUUGCCAGGGACGAUGAUGACGGUACCUGGAGAAUAAGCCCCGGCUAACUUCGUGCCAGCAGCCGCGGCGGUAAUUC